rnacentral:misc_RNA from 1 species
UCGAGCGUCAUUACAACCCUCAAGCAUUGCUUGGUAUUGGGCUCCGCUGCUUAUCUAGCGGGCCUUAAAAUCAGUGGCGGUGCCAUUGGGCCCUGAGCGUAGUAAAUAUCCUCGCUACAGGGACCCUGUGGUUACUGGCCAGCCAACCCCCACUUUUUAAGUUUGACCUCGGAUCAGGUAGGGAUACCCGCUGAACUUAA